GCCUGGGUGGCUCAGUUGGUUAAGCAUCUGACUUUGGCUCAGAUCAUGACUUGUGGUCCGUGAGUUUGAGUCCUGCACUGGGCU
rnacentral:tRNA from 1 species